GACGUAGGGCGCGAGCGUUGUCCGGAAUUAUUGGGCGUAAAGAGCUCGUAGGCGGUGUGUCGCGUCGGCCGUGAAAACCUGUGGCUUAACUAUGGGCUUGCGGUCGAUACGGGCAUCACUGGAGUUCGGCAGGGGAGACUGGAAUUCCUGGUGUAGCGGUGAAAUGCGCAGAUAUCAGGAGGAACACCGGUGGCGAAGGCGGGUCUCUGGGCCGAUACUGACGCUGAGGAGCGAAAGCGUGGGGAGCGAACAGG
rnacentral:rRNA from 1 species